AGAGAUGAAAGGAUGUCUGCUAAGUCUCCAGGGCCAAUGUAAAUAAAAACCUCAUAGUUUAAAGAGCCUUUCCAGCAGUCCUGAUUUACGACUCUGAUGAUCCACUGUUGCUUCUCAGCCGCGGCACAACUCUGCUACAGGGGACCAAAAGGCUGGAAGCGUACGAGGCAGCCUUCGUCCAAGUCUCCUUUAUAAUUACAACAACAUAAACUAAUUAAAGUUUAUGAACAGGUUAUGGUGAGUGCGUGAGAAGCGGCAAGUGAAGAGAUCCAGAGUCCAGAGUGAUUUAUGGACAGGACUGGAAUGCUGUUGGAGGAAGCUGCAGUCAGCAGCUACAAGCAGCUUGAGUCCUGCAAUGUGCUGAGUUUCCAAAGGCACUGUGCAGUUUGAACUCGCUGGAAGAUGCCUCACGGAGCCACCUCAGCAGCUGGGAAGCUGGGAAGCAGUCUACAGGCGUGAUUUUAUAAUCUAUGAAGGAGCUAAGUUUAAUAAACACUUCUGGAUAGGACUAAGGAAGAAUAACAAAAAACUGAAUGGAUUGGAAUGGCUUGAUGGUUCAGCAGUUCUUGAAGUGUACGCAUGCCAUCCUCCACAAUUCCUGAAUCCUUCUUGUCACAGUGGUCGGAUGGGACUACUUCAGAGUAACGACUCUCCACCGCUCUGCAUUUUAUCUUUUUAUUGGUGCUGCGUAUUUACAGUGCUAAAGAUUGAGGCCUCCGUGCCAGUUUACGCUUCUCAGAAGUCCGAAGAAUCGUCAGCCAGAACUCUGCUACCACUUGUUAGAAUAUCGGGAUGCAAAGCCCUAUAUUCUUUUUCUCUUGCCACUGGCUUCAGUUAAGAAGACAGCAAACAAUCAUUCUGGGAUACUGAGUCUAAGCAGCCCAGCGCAUCACCAGAUGACAACUGUGUCUAUAUCACACAAAAAUGCAAAGAAAUUGUUGGCAUGAUGCUGCCUGUUGGCACAAAAUGUCAUUUAUCUGCAAGAAGGCUCCAGAUCAGAAAUGGGACAGUUAGAAGCCUUUAAAGGAAUAAAAAUGUGCUCUGUGAUUUCUGUUCAAAAUGAGCCUAAACCCAUCUGGGUGCUUCAAAAGCACCCACUUCCUUUAAAUUAAUCAAGUAAAGUAUUACAUAUGCAACACCACUUGUGUUCUUACCUUGUAUUUCUAUUUCUGUAUUUUGACAUUCACUAUCUAGACACUAUAAGUUACACGAAAAGGGGAAUAGUGAUGUCACCGAACAGGGCUUCCCAAUGAGAGCUUGAUGGUGGCUCUUUACUGACCACUUCAGAACAGCAAUACCUUUUAACUAUUAGAAAGCAGGUAGCUGGUGGGUCUGGAACCACUGGUGAGAAGAAAUCUCUCUCGGUUUAUGAUUAAGUGAAGCAGGAAUACGGAGGAACUCCCUUAGGCAUGUUUAGGGUGCCUCUCAAGUUACUAGGGGACCACAUUUUGGUCACAUCCACACCAUACAUUCAAAGCUCAUUCCUUUUCCUCAAAGGAUCCCAGGAACUGUAGUUUAGGUAGAAGGUAAAGGUAAAGGACCUCUGGACAGUUAAGACCAGUCAAAGGUACGUUUCCGAGCACAGUUCAAAGUGUUGGUGCUGACCUUUAAAGCCCUAAAUGGCCUCGGUCCAGUAUACCUGAAGGAGCGUCUCCACCCCCAUUGUUCUGCCCGGACACUGAGGUCCAGGACCGAGGGCCUUCUGGCGGUUCCCUCGUUGCGAGAAGCCAAGUUGCAGGGAACCAGGCAGAGGGCCUUCUCAGUGGUGGCGCCUGCCCUGUGGAACGCCUUCCCAUCAGAUGUCAAAGAGAAAAACAGCUACCUGAUUUUUAGAAGACAUCUGAAGGCAGCCCUGUUUAGGGAGGCUUUUAAUGUUUAAUUAUUUUAUUUCAUUUUUCUGUUGUAAGCCGCCCAGAGUGGCUGGGGAAACCCAGCCAGAUGGGCGGGGUAUAAAUAAUAAAUUAUUAUUAUUAUAAAGGUGACUAUGGGGUGCAGUGCUCAUCUUGCUUUUCAGGCCAAAGGAACCAGCGUUUGUCCACAGACAGCUUCCCAGGUCAUGUGGCCAGCAAGACUAAACCGCUAUUGGUGUGGAUAUGACCUUGUGCUCCUCACCAGCAUAAGUUGAAGGGGUACUACUUUGACAGGGCCCCUGGCACAGUUUUCAACCCAGCCUUGGUCAUGUCCUAUUUUGAGAAUUUAAGGGCCAAAUGCCCUUGUGUGCAUGUCAGAAGAAGCAUGCAAAGCCCAGGGGAGGCACAGGUAUGGUGAACACGGCCAGGUACAGCUUAGAGGGACCCGGAGCAAAGUAGUCUCUGAUGAGCCUCUUACUCGGUCAGGGUUAUUUGGU